UACAGAGGGGGCAAGCGUUGUUCGGAAUUACUGGGCGUAAAGGGCGCGUAGGCGGCCUUCUAAGUCGAACGUGAAAUCCCCGGGCUUAACCUGGGAACUGCGCUUGUUACUGGCAGGCUGGAGUGUGGCAGAGGGGGGUGGAAUUCCACGUGUAGCAGUGAAAUGCGUAGAGAUGUGGAGGAACACCGAUGGCGAAGGCAGCCCCCUGGGCUAACACUGACGCUCAUGCACGAAAGCGUGGGGAGCAAACAGG
rnacentral:rRNA from 1 species